rnacentral:lncRNA from 1 species
GCCAAGCGCGGUGACACGAGCCUACAGCAGCAGCACAGCCCAGCUCUUCCUAAGCCACGGAUGGAGGGAUGGACCGUUGGCAUCUCUUUCAUGGUGACUGAAGCACUCUGAGCUAGAAGUGGGACCGAAAAAAAGGAGAAGAUUCAAUUCAAAUAGAGUUGGAAGAUGGAGGCCAGCAGAGAGAAAUGGAAGAGUCAACUUUUUAAACAGGAAAGAAAGAAGGCUAUAACCUAAAAACCCACAAAGCCUGAAGGACCUCCUGAGUCCUCUGCCAUCCUCUGCAGCAGGACACCCUCCAAACACAUCUGGACACUGGGAUACACCUGCCAUGCAGUGACUUAGACCAAAUACCCUUGAAAGCUUUCUCCACCUCGAUAGAACAUUUAUUCACAAAAGGUGCCAGCAACAAAAGAGUCAAUGUGAGAUUGCUGGAGAACACCCGUUAAUUGGUUUCAGAAGAUCUUCAAACAGGACUCGGAAACAAAUCAAACCGGUGUAAGGGAAAGAAGAGAUUUGGGGUCACAAUAUGGACCUUCGCCUUUCUCGGCUGGUAAAAACCAUAGUCCAUAUUUUCUUCUCAGCAAAAGUUUGGCUCUACACCAGCUUCAGCAAUCACAAAGACUAAUAUCUAAGAAAGACUGCAUUAAAAAUAUAAUGUAAAAAUAUGUCUCUAAUAAAAGGAAACAAGAAUUCCA